rnacentral:rRNA from 1 species
AGUGGGGAAUCUUGCGCAAUGGGCGAAAGCCUGACGCAGCAACGCCGCGUGAGCGAAGACGGCCUUCGGGUUGUAAAGCUCUGUCAGGAGGGACGAAGCCACUCGGGUGAACAGCCCAGAGGGUGACGGUACCUCCACAGGAAGCCCCGGCUAACUACGUGCCAGCAGCCGCGGUAAUACGUAGGGGGCGAGCGUUGUCCGGAAUCAUUGGGCGUAAAGCGCGUGUAGGCGGCCGACCAAGUCCGGUGUGAAAGCUCAGGGCUCAACCCUGAGUCUGCACUGGAAACUGGCCGGCUUGAGUCCGGAAGAGGAGACUGGAAUUCCUGGUGUAGCGGUGAAAUGCGCAGAUAUCAGGAAGAACACCGGUGGCGAAGGCGGGUCUCUGGGACGGUACUGACGCUGAGACGCGAAAGCGUGGGGAGCAAACAGGAUUAGAUACCCUGGUAGUCCACGCCGUAAACGAUGGGCACUAGGUGUGGGAGGUGUCGACUCCUUCCGUGCCGUAGCUAACGCA